rnacentral:rRNA from 1 species
GAUGAACGCUAGCUACAGGCUUAACACAUGCAAGUCGAGGGGCAGCGAGAAGAAAGCUUGCUUUCUUUGUCGGCGACCGGCGCACGGGUGAGUAACGCGUAUCCAACCUUCCCCUUAGUAGAGGAUAGCCCGGCGAAAGUCGGAUUAAUACUCUAUGUUAUUCGUUGAGGACAUCUGAAAUGCAACAAAGGGAAUUGCUAUGGUAAGGUGAU